GGUGGUUCCUGGGUGAUGCACCCCAGAAUCUGGCUCCCUCCUCUCUAACUCUGGUGCGUCACCCAAGAACCACA
rfam:Myotis davidii contig36603, whole genome shotgun sequence.